AAUUUACCAACAAAUUAAAAAUUUUCACAAUUUCGUCUUGUUUCUGGAAUAAAAUUACGAUAAUUACAAGUAUAAUAUUUGGGGUGUAGAGAUAGGAGAGCCAAGGUAAGUCGUUUAAUUCGAGGCACUUGUAAAGUAUUAAAGUAAAAAUAGUUUAAGUUGUAAAACAUUGUGACAAAAAUAAAAAAUAAAAAAAGACUUGACAAAAAUUGAAGCGUUUUGAGUAUGUUAAAAGUUUGCCAUCGUAAAAUACGUAAGAUAAUCCACAACAUUCUCAUUAGACACAGAAGAAUUUUAGUUUUCUUUAAUACAUUCAUGUUCGCCUUAAUAACUCUAUCAAUCGAUUAAUGGUUGUUACAUUUAAUACGCUGAAAGUGUUUAUUUCCUGUACUGUUUGUACAUAAGUGAUAAUCAAAUUGAUCAACUAUGAAGAACGUGCUAAAAAUAUUUGAAUAUUUCGCGUUUUUAAUGAAGUGUUUAGGAAUUUGCUAUGUCAAUAUCGACACCACAAGCAAGAAUUUUUUAAAUACCUCAAAAACGUAUACUUUUUUUACAAAUAUUGUGUUAGUUGUGUUUGCAGGUGUUAUAGUUUUGAAUACAGAACAUUUAGACGCACACGAAGAUAAAAAAGAAACAUUUAUUCUUGCCCUUAUUGACGUGAUUUAUCUUUACACCCCACACAUUAAUUCCUUCUUUAUGUUAGCAAUUUUUAAAGUAAAAGAAGAGCAGAUUUUGGAACUGUUUAGAAAAAUUUGGAGUUACGAAAACUAUUCAGACGAAAAAAUAGUUCUUUUUGCUAAAAAAGUUUUGGUAUUUUAUUUUUUCGAUGUGGUAUUCUAUAAUGUUAUAUUUAUUGUUUCUCGUUUUGGUUACCCAAGCUUUAUAAAGGGACAUUUUGAUUUUUGAACUGUGCUCAUCUGUUGUUGUUUUAAUUACAAUUACUUUUUGAAAAAUUUUAUUGAGAUUUUUUACACAGUAAUGGUGUAUCUAAUUUCGGACUUGUUUGAUAAUGUAAAUAAAAAAUUAAGUACAAUUAAUAACACUAGAAAAAUUCUUCGCCUACAUCAGAUUUUGUGUGAGAUUUGUCGAAGUUUAAAUAAAGUGCUUUCACUUCAGUUAUUGUUUUUGAUUGGUACACAUUUUAAAAUCAUUUUUAUAAAUGCAUUUUUGUUGUAUGCUGAUUUUGGAACCAACAUGCAGUUGGCAAGCCUGUAUAUAGGAAGUGCCGUUUGUAUAAAGUUGUACUUUUGUGUGUACGUCUCGAAUAGGUGUUUGACUCAGGCAAAUUUGGUGAAACGAUCUGCUUUUUACCUAACUACUCACAAUAAAAAUUACAAAUUGUGGAAGGAGAUUCAUGCCUUUAUGUUGCAACUACAACAUGAAUAUGUGAACUUUGAAGCUGGUGGAUUUUUCCCUGUAAAUUACACACUCUUGUUUUCAGUAAAGACACAACAGACAAGUGUAGAUAAGUGUUUAAGCAAAUUUUAAUUUUUCAGGUGUUUUCUGCUUCUUCUACAUACGUUAUUAUAAUCAUUCAAUGUAUGAACACGCCAGCUUAAACAAAAUUUCUAAUAAAUAAUGUUAUUUAUGUAUUACCCAAUAAAUAGUGGAAAAUCAGGGCAUUAAAAAUUCUCAAUUUCUCAUCACACAUAAAUUAGAUUUUAAAGUCUUGAACAAUCUCGCAAAAUUUAACAAUUUUUAGACUACUUUAUACUUGAGAAAACAUUAGAUAAAGUCUGAUCAAAAUAAAAUCAUAACAUUUCUUUCAGUUUUAAUCAGGUUAAGUCAGGUCAAGAAGAACUGGCAAUUGUCUCUAGUUCAACAGAACAAAUGUUUAAGUUUUUUUCAAGAAUUUUCUUUCUGUUUGCCGGUGUUAUGAGGACGCCUUAAAUUUUUUUGAUUUUAAUUUUAUUCACAAUACAA